GACGUAGGGCGCAAGCGUUGUCCGGAUUUAUUGGGCGUAAAGAGCUCGUAGGCGGCUUGUCGCGUCGACUGUGAAAACCCGCGGCUUAACCGCGGGACUGCAGUCGAUACGGGCAGGCUAGAGUUCGGUAGGGGAGACUGGAAUUCCUGGUGUAGCGGUGAAAUGCGCAGAUAUCAGGAGGAACACCGGUGGCGAAGGCGGGUCUCUGGGCCGAUACUGACGCUGAGGAGCGAAAGCGUGGGGAGCGAACAGG
rnacentral:rRNA from 1 species